CCCAACUUCCCUUUUUUACUUAGAGAAUAGUUUCUGCAAACGUCGCCAUCUCGUUUGUCAUAAAAUGGAAAUUGUGCCCAUGUUUCCAGUUGACGAAUAACCAUAUUUUAUUCCCACAGGACACUUCGUGGUGAUUCACCUGUGGAAAAAGGUACUAUUGGUAGUAACGAAUGCCAGUGCUUUACAGGAGUCUGAGAAAGAAAUUGUUGAUUUUUUGAAAAAUAAAAGGUUUGUCUACAGAUAUUGUUUCAGAAUCCAAAAGUAAUGUAUCAGUUGGCAAGAGGCUUCAAAUCUGUUUUAUAUCUGGGAAUUGCAGUAUUUGCUGGUUCCAUGUUUGUUUUCUUGAUAUCUCCAAGUCCCGAGAAGAUAUUAAAGAAACUACCUGGAAUUCAAAUGACAGAUGAAGAACAAAUUGCAGAAGGAAAUUUUAUUUCAAACUUACUAGAACAAACACCAAACAAUAGUGAAGAAAAACAAGAAUCACAAAAAUAA
rnacentral:lncRNA from 1 species